rnacentral:misc_RNA from 1 species
GAUGAAGAACGUAGUGAAAUGCGAUAAGUAGUGUGAAUUGCAGAAUUCAGUGAAUCAUCGAAUCUUUGAACGCACAUUGCGCCCUUUGGUAUUCCUUAGGGUAUGCCUGUUCGAGCGUCAUUUAAACCUUCAAGCUCAGCUUGGUGUUGGGUGACUGUCCGCCGCCUCCGGGCGGUCGGACUCGCCUCAAAUUGAUUGGCGGCCGGUUCUUUGGCUUCGAGCGCAGCAGAAACGCGAACUCGAGGCCGUCGUCCUGGCUCCCAGAAGCUAUCUUCACAAUUUUGACCUCGGAUCAGGUAGGGAUACCCGCUGAACUUAAGCAUAUCAAUAAGCGGAGGA